CCUCCAUGGUGGAAGGCAUAGUGGAAGAGGAGGGCUGGAGAUAACAAGGACUCACAGGGGUGUGGUCCCUGGAUCCCAGCCCCCUCAUGGUAGGCGUUUGGUCUAUGCACAACUGUUUAAAGUAUGUUUUCCAUGAUGCCUACCAUGCCCUCCCCUAUCUGAAACCUACUCAAGAAGAAAGGGGCGCUUGCUGCUGCUUGCUUUGUAAGGCACACCUCACCAUUACCAGAUCCCCAUCCUCACCAGAGACCAAGGAAACGGGAAGCACUCAAUUUUGGAUGUGAGCCUUCAGGCUAUGAACAAAAUAAGCUCCCUGCAUGAGCAGCCUGUCGGGGGCACUUCACAACAGUAAUCCCAUGACGACUACUCUAGCCAGCCAGCGGUGCAGAGCCGGACCAUUGCUGGGCCCUGGGGACAGCUGAACCAGUCCCUCUCCUUCUGAAGACACCACCAUCCAUUCCAGGACAGAGAACACGGAUGGACACCCACACACCACAUAUAUACAUGGAUUAUGCCUGUGUGCUGCCAUGUUUCCUACCGGGCUGUUAAUGGACUGAACCUCUGAGACUGUAAGCCAACCUCAAUUAAAUGUUUGCCUUUAUA